AAAACUGAUACUCCCGUGUGCGGGAGACUUUUGAGUCUACCCGGGGUGCUCUCAGACCCGGAUCGCUAACCUGCACACAGCUGCCACCCUC
rnacentral:antisense_RNA from 2 species